rnacentral:rRNA from 1 species
GAUGAACGCUGGCGGCGUGCUUAACACAUGCAAGUCGAACGAAGUGGCGAACGGGUGAGUAACGCGUAAUCAACCUGCCCUUCAGAGGGGGACAACAGUUGGAAACGACUGCUAAUACCGCAUACUGAAGGUGGGGAUUGCGGCUGAUAAGCUAGUUGGUGGGGUAACGGCCUACCAAGGCGAAGACCAGUAGCCGGUCUGAGAGGAUGAACGGCCACAAUGGGACUGAGACACGGCCCAAACUCCUACGGGAGGGAGCAAUGGGGAAUCUUCCGCAAUGGACGGAAGUCUGACGGAGCAACGCCGCGUGAGUGAUGACGGCCUUCGGGUUGUGAAGCUCUGUUAAGCGGGACGCGGUACCGGAAUAGAAAGCCACGGCUAACUACGUGCCAGCAGCCGCGGUAAUAC